AAUUCUUUGGGUCGGAUUUUGGAUCAUAUAUAAUUGUUCUCAAAACCUAAAUGUCUCAUUCUUCUCCUUCACGCCGCUUUGUGAUACUCAUACGCUCAAUCUCUUCAUCUUCUUUGAAUUCAUCCUCAUUGCUAGAUCUUCUUCUUCAAUCCCCUGUCCCAUAAACCCUUCUCCCAAUGGUUCCUACAGAUGCAUACACCGACCAAGCAUAAAUUCUAUUAAUCUUCAAAUAGAAUCAGCGGCGUUAGGGUUUUGUUGAAGAAAAUACAAAUUGUAUUUAUUUUGUUGAUUCAAGCAUAAAUACGGAUUCCUCAAGAGCUGGUUGGAUUAGUCCCUAGACAAGAAAACCUGAAACAAACGGGGAAUUAGGGGUUUCAGAGAUAACUAUAAGGAAAUUUGGUUUCUGGACGACAGGACUUAUUGGUUGGUUGGCUUCAAUGCAACCUUGGCCCCUGUUCACGCCCGAGAACUUGGAUCAAAACCGGAUUUGUUUCAGUCCAAUGGCGAAAAUACUCGAUAUGUUGCAACUGAUCUGACUGCUGAUAUGAUUGUAAGCGUUGGAGACGUUAAAUUUUACGGCCACAAGGUUUGCUACUUUCAACUCACUAAUUGAAUUAAAAUCAAGGUAUGUUAGGUUGUAGAGUUGUUUUUGGUCACUGCUUUUUAGGGUUGGUUAAUUAUAUCCAUUUUUUUUCUAGCGUAUAAUGUGGUUCAUAUCGAAGGAAGAAAUCUGAAAUGUGAAAUCUACAGAGGGAAGCUAGCUUAAUGGUUUUGUUUGAAUCCAGGAAGUAUGAUAUGAAACUGCAGGUGUUGGGGGGGGGGGGGGUACAGUCAAUUUGUGAUCUCUAUUCUCAUUGUUAGAUUAAUUAGAGUUUAAGGUUUCUCUUGAUAAAAUAUGGGAAGAAAGUUUCUCGAAGAAUGAUGUGUUUUGCAACACUAUUAAAGCAACAUUUGAGUAUCUAAUCAAUCUACGUCAGAACCGCCCUGCUGAACUGAUUGCAAAGUAUUUAUUUGGGUUUAUGUUUUGAAGAACAUGGUUCUUGCUGAACGGUUGUUGACAAGAAAGUCUACUUACAAUCUUGAUAUGCUUAUUCGAGAGAGGGUCUGGCAUUAGAUAUCCAAAGUUCAUUGAUGCAUUAAGAGAUUUGGAUGACCAUCUGACAAUGGUGCACCUGUUUGCUGUCUUACCUGCCGUUGAAAGAGAAAAUAUCCAAGCAGAAAGAAUCCACGACUAUAGAGGAUUCAGAAGUCGCAACUCGGCUGUAAACAAUUUGUAUGAUGUGGUGGUAAGAAUCAAGAACUCUUUCAUGAUGACAUCAUCUACCUUUUUACCUUUCACAAACUUUAGUUUUGGGCUCCUUAAUUUCUUUUGUAUAAAUAACACUAUUACAGGGAAGAAAUGAACAGUUCAAAAGUCACCCAAAAGUGUAAUCUUAUAGUAAUGUUGACACGCUUAGCUAUUAACAAUAACUUCAAAUUCUGGGGAAAAGUGUUUGAAUGUGACCCGUUUGGCCUUUGACAAUUAUAGAGGCUGUCUAUAAUUUACAAAAAACUUCAUAUUGAGACAUAUGUAGCUCGUGACAAAAAUAUUGACCCAUAACAACAAAUGAUCAUGGCAAAAGAAACAUAGUAACAAUUAUAGAGUUGUUUUAAUAAUUUUUUUGUGUACCUCCUCCAAGGGUGAAGUGGCAGGUCGUAUAUUGUUUGCAAAGCGAGCUCGGUUGCAGCUUAUGUUGCGUUUUGAAUGUUGCUAACGGGUCAAACAGUGGAUCCAAUUUUGUUCAGAUUGUAGCUUCAUAUCGUGCAUUUCACUCGCCGCCGAUCCUCAUGGGCUCAUUCCCUUUCUAGAUCUGAAUGGACCACCACAGCCCCUCUGUUUCUUUUACCGCGGUACACGACUCAACAGUUGCCCAAGAUCUAACGAAACAGUCACAUUUGGCCGUCGAUUCUUCUCCAACGGAAGUCCAAUGUCGUUGCCACUAAACACCAACACUACCAAAGGUUGUAGGGAGUGGAAGUAUAGGGUGAUUAGAGAAGAUUGAUAUAACGUUAGUUGGCCGCAGACCAGAGAAGACUUGAUGGAGCUUAACCAAAGCUAAUGGAACAGAAGUUGUAGAGAACAGGAUGAAGUGAUAAAAACAAGAUUCUUUCAUUUAGUCUAGAAAUGAUUUGUUAUUUAGUUUUUUGUUAUGUAUUUUUUUAUGGUAGUCUAAUAUGUCUCAAUAGUUCCUUUCUACU